rnacentral:lncRNA from 1 species
AACUAGUCAAGAAUUGAAGAUGAGCUCGUCAUCUGAAGGUAGCACUUGCUCUCCCUUCUCUGAUUAUUUCCAGUCUCCCUUCCCUUUCCCUUUGUUACCUCUGCAGCGCCCGGAAGAUAGCAGUAGCCCAAUACCCAGUAGUAACCGUGCAUCUCUGUUUGUGUGUUUGUGUUGUCUGUUCAGAUUUUAAUGGUGGCUGUGGACGUGCAGAAAUGCAGUGUUUAUAUAGUCUAUACUACUCUAUUAAGACUCUAACGUCAGCGUCCACACUUUCAUUGCCCCCGCAGUGCCCCCGCCUCCCUCCCACACCCGCGCAUGGACCACCUCCCUCGCCACAGGAACGCCGCCAGCUCGAGCCCCGUCGUGCCUCUCUAACCUAACAACCUCACUCGCCACAGGAGCGCCGCCACCCCCCACCAGUUAUCCACUUACCCCACAAAGUCCUCCGGCAGCCGGAACUUGCGCACGAACGACCGCGGCGCCGCGCCGCGCUCCAACCGGAUGUAUCGGCACCCUUCGCCGUUCAUGUCCUCCUCCUCGUCGCGCUUCCGCUUCCCGCUGCCGCCCUUCAUCACCAGCACCCGGUCCUCCUCCAGCGUCACCUGAAACACAAGCGGAUGCGGUUGGGGUCAGUUGCUGGCGCCCUGGACCCAACGGAGUAAAGGGACCACGCGCCGCAGGUGGCAGGUGCGGUACCUGGAUGUCUGACUUGGAGAGGCCGGGCACGUCGAGCACGAAGGCGUACUCGCGGGGGCUCUCCACUAUGUCCACCGGCGCUCCGCCGCCGCCGCCGAGCCCGUGGACGUGUCCGUGGCCGUGGUCGUGCGCCGCGUGGUGGCCGGUCGACCGCCGGUCGCCGUCUGCAGUGGCGAGGCGAUCCAGCACCUCCGGCAGGUGGAGGAGGCUGGUCACGGCCGUGUCGAACAGCUCCGUCAUGGCUCUCUCUCACUCACUCCCUCGAUCUAACUGUGUUCGCGUGGCGAGAUCUGCGUCGUCUUCCUUUGCUCUGGCUCUGCGAUGUGGCGAGGCGGUGUGUGGAAGGGGUUUGGGGGUACAAAUUGAGCGGCACCGAGAGUUCGACAUGCUUCGACAAGAUCUAAAUUAGAACGGAGGAGCAGUGUUUAGUUGAACGUACACAUGUGAGAUUAAUAGGGAAUGAGUGGAUUAUGGAUGAGACAAGUGCAUCUGAUAAAAUUCAGUAAUUCACGAUGAUUCGACAAGUGAGAUUAUGGAGGUUCGCGAUGAAGCACCGGCAAUGGACUUUAUUUAGACAAGUGAUGCCCAAGAAAAUAGGGGUAAACUGACACAGCUAUCACUUGUAUUACUUGCCCUAUGCGCGAAAGAAUCUGACACAGCUAUCACCCAUGAAGAUUUCCGGUUAACUUGUGGAAUCGGACUUCAUUUGAGACAAGACAACAAUACCAGCGUUGAGCUUGCCACUCGGCCAUGGCACAUACGAGAACACGAAAUGAUCAAGUAAGAACUGAACUGAAUGCACUAAUACAAAAGGCUGACUUGUGUUCGCUUCCUUGCUCCACAGGAAGUAUAGCUGAUAUACAAAUCGAGAUUUAUGUUCCGUGGCAUCGCACUAAUACAAAAGGCUGACUAGUCAAGAAUUGAAGAUGAGCUCGUCAUCUGAAGGUAGCACUUGCUCUCCCUUCUCUGAUUAUUUCCAGUCUCCCUUCCCUUUCCCUUUGUUACCUCUGCAGCGCCCGGAAGAUAGCAGUAGCCCAAUACCCAGUAGUAACCGUGCAUCUCUGUUUGUGUGUUUGUGUUGUCUGUUCAGAUUUUAAUGGUGGCUGUGGACGUGCAGAAAUGCAGUGUUUAU